rfam:Rattus norvegicus chromosome 6, whole genome shotgun sequence.
GGGGAUUUAGCUCAGUGGUAGAGCGCUUGCCUAGCACACGCAAGGCCCUGGGUUCGGUCCCCAGCUCCG